rnacentral:rRNA from 1 species
GACGAACGCUGGCGGCGUGCUUAACACAUGCAAGUCGAACGGAAAGGCCUCUUUCGGGGGGUACUCGAGUGGCGAACGGGUGAGUAACACUUGAGUAACCUGCCCUUGACUUUGGGAUAACUUCAGGAAACUGGGGCUAAUACCGGCUAGGAGCUCCUGCUGCAUGGUGGGGGUUGGAAAGUUUCGGCGGUUGGGGAUGGACUCGCGGCUUAUCAGCUUGUUGGUGGGGUAGUGGCUUACCAAGGCUUUGACGGGUAGCCGGCCUGAGAGGGUGACCGGCCACAGUGGGACUGAGAUACGGCCCAGACUCCUACGGGAGGCAGCAGUGGGGAAUAUUGCACAAUGGGUGGAAGCCUGAUGCAGCAACGCCGUGUGCGGGAUGACGGCCUUCGGGUUGUAAACCGCUUUCGCUCAUGACGAAGCUUUGUGUGACGGUAGUGGGUAAAGAAGCACCGGCUAACUACGUG